GCGGACCAUGUUGUUAUUGAUUGGUGGCUUCUUUAGUGUGGCCAACUGUCAUUAUUGCAGUCUUUUCACUUUCAUGGCUCAUGAUGCUAUUUGGGAGAUCGAUUGUGGCUCUGUAAUAGUUGCUUGCGUUUGAAUCCUUAUGUGGGUGGUAUUAAUUUAUCUGGAUGCUUUGUGGAGAAGUCUUUAUGCCUGGUCAAGGGCAUAGGGAUUGUCUUAUGGAAUGAGAUCCUUCCACCCUUUGUGUCGGGCGUUGUCUCGUUUCUUGGGGUGGGAGAAUGAGGGUCUCGAUUUAUUGUGGUAAAUGUGGCUCUUUGAGAUUUGAUCUUGGUGUUACGGCACCUUGCUCGUUGGAAUAUUCGGGAGAUGGUGCCUUUAUCCUCUGUGCGACUUUGGUUCUUUCCCCUCGCGCCAUAUGAAAUGUAUGGUUGUCGUGGGGUGAGGUCAAGGUUGUCUUGAGGACGUGCUACCU
rnacentral:misc_RNA from 1 species